GUCGUACGGACGAACAGGGCUUGCUCUGUUCGUUAGUGGCGGACGGCUGAGUAACGCGUAGGUGACCUGCCCCGAAGUGGGGAAUAACUGCCCGAAAGGGUGGCUAAUACCGCAUGUGGUGAUGCGUUCAUUCGCAUCAGUAAAGCCGCAAGGCGCUUCGGGAGGGGCCUGCGUCCGAUUAGCUCGUUGGUGAGGUAACGGCUCACCAAGGCGACGAUCGGUAGGUGGUCUGAGAGGACGAUCACCCGGACUGGGACUGAGACACGGCCCAGACUCCUACGGGAGGCAGCAGUCGGGAAUUUUGCGCAAUGGGCGAAAGCCUG
rnacentral:rRNA from 1 species